rnacentral:rRNA from 1 species
UACGUAGGGUGCAAGCGUUUGUCCGGAAUUACUGGGCGUAAAGAGCUCGUAGGCGGUUUGUCGCGUCGUCUGUGAAAACUCGAGGCUCAACCUCGAGCUUGCAGGCGAUACGGGCAGACUUGAGUACUGCAGGGGGAGACUGGAAUUCCUGGUGUAGCGGUGAAAUGCGCAGAUAUCAGGAGGAACACCGGUGGCGAAGGCGGGUCUCUGGGCAGUAACUGACGCUGGAGGAGCGAAAGCGUGGGUAGCGAACAGG